GCUGGCCAGGGUGGCGCAUGCCUGUAAUCCCAGUGGCUUGGGAAGCAGGGACAGGAGAAUCAUGAGUUCAGAGCCAACCUUAGCAACUCAAAGUGAGGCCCUAAGCAACUUAGUGAGACCCUGUCUA
rnacentral:sRNA from 1 species